UACGGAGGGUGCAAGCGUUGUUCGGAAUUAUUGGGCGUAAAGCGCGUGUAGGUGGAUUGCUAAGUCUGGUGUGAAAUCCCUCGGCUCAACUGAGGACGUGCAUCGGAUACUGGCAACCUUGAGUCCUGGAGAGGAUAGCGGAAUUCCCAGUGUAGAGGUGAAAUUCGUAGAUAUUGGGAGGAACACCGGUGGCGAAGGCGGCUAUCUGGACAGUGACUGACACUGAGACGCGAAAGCACGGGUAGCAAACAGG
rnacentral:rRNA from 1 species